UACGUAGGGGGCAAGCGUUGUCCGGAAUCAUUGGGCGUAAAGAGCGUGUAGGUGGCCCGGUCAGUCCGCCGUGAAAGUCCAGGGCUCAACCCUGGAAUGCCGGUGGAUACUGCCGGGCUGGAGUCCGGAAGAGGCAAGUGGAAUUCCUGGUGUAGCGGUGAAAUGCGCAGAUAUCAGGAGGAACACCAAUGGCGAAGGCAGCUCGCUGGGACGGUACUGACACUGAGACGCGAAAGCGUGGGGAGCAAACAGG
rnacentral:rRNA from 1 species